GCCGGAGUGGCGGAAUUGGUAGACGCGAUGGAUUCAAAAUCCAUUGUCCGCAAGGGCGUGUGGGUUCAAGUCCCACCUCCGGUACCA
rnacentral:tRNA from 2 species